UACGUAGGGGGGCAAGCGUUUGUCCGGAAUCAUUGGGCGUAAAGCGCGUGUAGGCGGUUUCUUAAGUCUGAUGUGAAAGCCCACGGCUCAACCGUGGAGGGUCAUUGGAAACUGGGAGACUUGAGUGCAGAAGAGGAAAGUGGAAUUCCAUGUGUAGCGGUGAAAUGCGUAGAGAUAUGGAGGAACACCAGUGGCGAAGGCGACUUCUGGUCUGUAACUGACACUGAGGCGCGAAAGCGUGGGGAGCAAACAGG
rnacentral:rRNA from 1 species